AGGACGAACGCUGGCGGCGUGCUUAACACAUGCAAGUCGAGCGGAAAGGCCCUUCGGGGUACUCGAGCGGCGAACGGGUGAGUAACACGUGAGCAAUCUGCCUUUAGCUCUGGGAUAGCUCCGGGAAACCGGGAUUAAUACCGGAUAAGACCACUUUAGACAUCUGUUGUGGUGGAAAGAAUUUCGGCUAGAGAUGAGCUCGCGGCCUAUCAGCUUGUUGGUGGGUAACGGCCCACCAAGGCGACGACGGGUA
rnacentral:rRNA from 1 species